UCUUAUCUAAAAGACUAAGCCAUGCAAGUUUAAAACACGGGACUCCGGUCCCUCACUUUGCGAAUGGCUCCUUACAACAGCUACGACUGACACGAGGAUCUUGUGGUCUCUGACCAUUCUACUCGGUAUACCUGUGGAAACGCUGCAGCUAAUACGUGCGUGUGAGCUCGUCCUCCCUUGCGGAGGAGAGUGCCGUUGUUAGUUCCAAGCCGGCGCGGCGGGGGCGCAAGUCUCUGUCGUGCUUUGGUGAAUCAUGAUAACUCUGUCCAGAUCGGAAUUCAUUCCGACGUCUCGUACAGAUUUCUGCCCUAUCAACUGUCGAUGGUUGGAUCGAGGCCCACCAUGGUGACCACGGGUAACGGGGAAACAGGGUUCGACUCCGGAGAGGAAGCCCGAGAAACGGCUACCACCUCCAAGGAAGGCAGCAGGCGCGAAAAUUGUUCACUAACGACACGUUGAGACAGUGACCAGGCGUAUCAUUGCAAGGCGCAUUUUGUGUCUUGCAAAUGAAAUGGAAGCAGUGUACAAACCUCAUUGAGGAGCGAAAGGUGGGCAAGUCGAAUGCCAGCAGCUGCGGUAAUUUUUGCACCUUGAGAGUUGUCUAGCAUUGCUGUAGUUAAAUCGCCCGUAGUCGUAUUUCUGGGUGGUCCGUGUUGGGCGCUGCGCAAGCGGUGCCAUUGUACGCGGGCCUCCCACGCACCGAGCACGCGCCUUCGGGUGUGUGCUCCUGUUACCAUGAGGAAAUUGGAGUGUUCAAAGCAGGCUUUAAUGCCGGCACACGUUAGCAUGGAAUAAUGAAAGAGGGCCCUGGUUCUUACCGCGCCUCAGGCUUGGAGCAGACCGGGAUCAUGAUGAACAGGAACAGAAUGGGGGCACCCGUACUUUGCUGUCAGGGGUGAAAUCCUUGGAUCAGCAAAAGACGAACGGAUGCGAAAGCGUCUGCCAUGAUGUUUUCAUUGAUCAAGGCCGAAAGUCGAGGGAUCCAAGACGAUCAGAUACCGUCGUCAUCUCGACCAUCAACGCUGCCGACCGCGGGUGUGCACACUAUUUCGAGAGUGUGUGCGAACGCUAGGAGAAAUUAAAAGUCCAUGGGUACCGGGGGGAG
rnacentral:rRNA from 1 species